CUUCCGUAGGGUGAACCUGCGGAAGGAUCAUUACAAUUCAGUAGCUUGCUACUGGUCGGGAGGUGCUGUAAGUCCGCAUAGUUUAAUUACUGAUGAGCGGCGAGCCCUCUGUCUGCACCCUUGUCUUUUGCGCACUCAUGUUUCCUCGGCGGGCUUGCCCGCCGAUUGGACAGACUUAUAACCUUUUUAAUUUUCAAUCAGCGUCUGAAAAAACUUAAUAAUUACAACUUUCAACAACGGAUCUCUUGGUUCUGGCAUCGAUGAAGAACGCAGCGAAAUGCGAUAAGUAGUGUGAAUUGCAGAAUUCAGUGAAUCAUCGAAUCUUUGAACGCACAUUGCGCCCCUUGGUAUUCCAUGGGGCAUGCCUGUUCGAGCGUCAUUUGUACCCUCAAGCUUUGCUUGGUGUUGGGUGUUUGUCCUCUCCUUUGCGUUUGGACUCGCCUUAAAGCAAUUGGCAGCCAGUGUUUUGGUAUUGAAGCGCAGCACAUUUUGCGAUUCUAGCCGAAAAACUGACGUCCAUAAGCCUUUUUUAACUUUUGACCUCGGAUCAGGUAGGGAUACCCGCUGAACUUAAGCAUAUCAAUAAGCGGAGGA
rnacentral:rRNA from 1 species